rnacentral:lncRNA from 1 species
AUAAAAUCGUACAUUACAAUGACACCAAGGUUCAGUGUCUCUAUAGUAACUAUGGAAUUCAAAGUUACCUCUGGAAUCUUUUAACUCUAGCAUUGGUUGGUAGAACAGUCUUAUUGGUUCCUAGUUCUCCAGUGAAUGUAAGUUCUUUGGAAGAGUCAUUAUUAUGCUGAAAAACAACAACAAAACAGCCGUCAUGGAUGUCAAUGAAGAAUUUAGAUUAAGACUCAUGCAAAGGAUAAUGGAGAGGGUCAUAAUGGGCAUGUGCAGAUUCUAAAUCAAUACUUCAAAGGCAUCAGAUUCCAAGCCUCUCCAACCAUCCCUUGCAGUGGAUGUAAACCUUUGCAUGUCUUCCAGGCCCUUUCCUUGAAAAUCUCUGGAUCAUUCUUCUAUCAUAUUUUCCACACUGAUAUUGCAGAGGUCUCCAAACACCGAGUGAUCCAUCUAUUCUGA